UUUAAACCUAAGAGUGCAAUUAAUUGUGGCUGCAAAUUUUAUUAAUUUAAACCCCAAACAUUUGAUUGUAUGACCGCCCAAACCUUUUGUGUCAUUUCAAUCAAGUAAAAGCAACAUUUUUGUUGCAUUAUCCCCCCCCUAACCUUUUUUUUUUUUAUUUAAAUACACAAGUGAAUUAAGAGGGAAAAAUUGAUUGAUUAAAUUGAAAUAA
rnacentral:misc_RNA from 1 species